AGUCACUGACAUUAGAUACCCGCGUAGUCCAGGGUGUAAACGCUGCAGACUUGGUGUUGGGAACCCUUCGGGGGUGCUCAGUGCCGGAGAGAAGUUGUUAAGUCUGCUACUUGGGAGUACGUCCGCAAGGAUGAAACUUAAAGGAAUUGGCGGGGAGCACCGCAACGGGAGGAGCGUGCGGUUUAAUUGGAUUCAACGCCGAAAAACUCACCAGCAGCGACUGUUACAUGAAAGUCAGGUUGAUGACCUUACUAGAUUUUCAG
rnacentral:rRNA from 1 species